UAAAUUGUCGUGGGAGAGAGCAGCAGCCGGCUACCAGCCCGUCAUGUUGCCACCGAAGGCGCAAUUCGCCCGGAAUCGCUCAGGUCCAUGUACCGCACAAUCACC
rfam:Advenella kashmirensis WT001, complete genome.